rfam:Canis lupus familiaris chromosome 5, whole genome shotgun sequence.
AGGAGGAACAACCGCAGUUGCAGCGGCCAGCUCUGGAGCCCUGGAGUCAGCUCCCGCAGUAACUCCGGCGGAGCUCUCGGUCUGCAGGGCCUGGAGGCUCCGGGGCGGG